CUUCGGUGGGGAUUAGUGGCGAACGGGUGAGUAACACGUGGGCAAUCUGCCCUUCACUCUGGGACAAGCCCUGGAAACGGGGUCUAAUACCGGAUAACACUCCCGCACUCAUGUGCGGGGGUUAAAAGCUCCGGCGGUGAAGGAUGAGCCCGCGGCCUAUCAGCUUGUUGGUGAGGUAAUGGCUCACCAAGGCGACGACGGGUAGCCGGCCUGAGAGGGCGACCGGCCACACUGGGACUGAGACACGGCCCAGACUCCUACGGGAGGCAGCAGUGGGGAAUAUUGCACAAUGGGCGAAAGCCUGAUGCAGCGACGCCGCGUGAGGGAUGACGGCCUUCGGGUUGUAAACCUCUUUCAGCAGGGAAGAAGCGAAAGUGACGGUACCUGCAGAAGAAGCGCCGGCUAACUACGUGCCAGCA
rnacentral:rRNA from 1 species